rnacentral:rRNA from 1 species
AUUGAACGCUGGCGGCAGGCCUAACACAUGCAAGUCGAGCGGAUGAAGCGAGCUUGCUCCUGGAUUCAGCGGCGGACGGGUGAGUAAUGCCUAGGAAUCUGCCUGGUAAUGGGGGAUAACGUCCGGAAACGGGCGCUAAUACCGCAUACGUCCUGAGGGAGAAAGUGGGGGAGCUUCGGACCUCACGCUAUCAGAUGAGCCUAGGUCGGAUUAGCUAGUUGGUGGGGUAAAGGCCUACCAAGGCGACGAUCCGUAACUGGUCUGAGAGGAUGAUCAGUCACACUGGAACUGAGACACGGUCCAGACUCCGACGGGAGGCAGCAGUGGGAAUAUUGGCCAAUGGGCGAAAGCCUGAUCCAGCCAUGCCGCGUGUGUGAAGAAGGUCUUCGGAUUGUAAAGAACUUUAAGGUGGGAGGAAGGGCAGUAAGUUAAUACCUUGCUGUUUUGACGUUAACAACAGAAUAAGCACCGGCUAACUUCGUG